AUGGAGGGAUGGAGGGAUUCUCCCACAAUGCACCUGGCGAGGCCAGGGCGCCCCCGCCUCCCUCUCCCCGCCUCCCCUUUUCCUAUUGGCCCAGCGCCCUGGCGUGACGUGCGUGCGGGGGGGGGUGUGAGGAGGGUGCGCGCGCCGCUCCGGCUCGGCUGCCGCGCUCUGCCUUCCCUCCCGCGGGGCCUUGUCCGAGGCGGGCUGCCCUCGGCGCUGCCUGAGCCCCCGCCCGCGCCUCGGCCGCCCGCCGCCAUCUUGCGCCAGGCCCCCUCCCCUCGCCCGCCGCCCGGAGACCCACCCAGGCGCGCCGGGGACCCUCCGCGCCGCCGCAGCCUCCUUACCGCCGGGGGCCUCUCGCAGACACCCCCGCGGCCCCUCAGCCGCCCGCUCCCUCCGGCCCGGCACCCGCCAGGUCGCCAUCGCCGCUUCCCUCGCCCGGCGGAGGGAUUCUUCCGCCGGACCCCGCCGGCGCCGGGACUACUUCCGAGGGCGCGGCGGCGGCGCUGGGCGGGCGGCGGCGGCGGCGCUGCUCCGGCUUCUUCCCCCCCGGGGUCUGGUUGCUCACUCGUCGCGGGAAGCGUCAGGCCGGCCGUUUCCUCGGAGAAACCUGGCGGCCCGCGGGGGACUACUUUUUCUCCGCGGAAGGCUUCGAGGGCGUCGUUUGCGUCCACCACAAACUCCUCCUUGUUGAAGCCUUCUGUGCCAGCCUGCCCUCUCUGCUUCCUGUGGCCUUUGCGCCUCCACCCUCAGCCACGCAGAGGUCGCCCGGACCCUUGAACGCUUCUGCCCCAGGUGCCUUGGAAUAUUUCCGUCUCAGGGUUUUCUGGGGCCCUUCUCAGAGGUUUGCUACCACGAGAAGACUAGACACACAGAGGUAGAGUGGGACUAGUGGGACGGUGCCUGCCAGCCCCACCCGCAGCGUCACAUGCUGCCAGCAUCACAUGGGGGGAGCCCCCCCCGUCCCACUCUUCUUUCAGAUCACAUUUAUUUAAAUAAGUACAACUUGCAUUCUCCCUAAAAUUAUAGCACACCGUGAAUUUUAUAUCCUCCUUCCAUAAUCUUUUCCAUGGUUCCAUAUAGAUACUAUAUCCAAGAUCUUGUGCCCAUCUCGCCAUUACAACUUUAACUUGCUCUUCUUUCACUUCCCAUUCUAAUAAAUAGUUGUAUAUUCCUGCGAUAUGUUUUCCUUUAUUGUGAGUUAGCUCUUUUUCAAACUUGGAUGUUUCUUUUGCCAGACCAUCUCUCUUGUCUAAACUCAAUCUUUGGUUUAUUUGAAAGUAUUGGAGCCAGUCUGUCAAGCGGCUUUUAAUUUCGUCAUAUUUUUUCAACAUGGGCUUAUCUUCAACAAAUUCUAGCAGUACUCGAUAGGUGAGCCAUUCCUUUUUCAUAUGCCUUUUUUUGACUGCUAUGGCUUCUCCAGGAGAGGUCCACAAAGGUAUCUUUUGCUCUAACAACCUUUUAUAUUUCUCCCAGAUCUUAUACAGGGAUUUUCUUAUCACUUGAUUCAAGAAACCCUUAUGGACCCUCCCUUUAUCAUAUAUCAAAUAGGCUUUAUAGAUGGCACCAAACUCCAGCAAAAUUUGCUAAAUUGUAUAAAGGUAGAUCACCAACCUGCUGCAGGUGCAAAAAAGAGACAGGGACAUACUUACACAUGUGGUGGAAUUGCACAGUCAUCCGGGAAUUUUGGGACAAAUUAUAUAAUGAAUUCAAAAAGCUAUUCAGAUUUACAUUCAGAAAAAGACCAGAAGCCUUCCUCCUAGGAAUAAUGUCAGCGGAAAUCAGAAAAGAUAUAAGACCAUAGUUUAUGUACGGAACAACAGCAGCCAGAAUAAUAGUGGCAAGAAACUGGAAAAAUCAAACACUGCCCACGAUAAUAGAAUGGGAGACUCUUAUGAUUGAAUACCUCGAACUGGCAAAGAUGACGGGGAAACUAAGAGGGCUCUCAAAGCAGAAAGUAUACAAAGAAUGGAAAAUAUUCAAAGAUUACCUAAAAACAUAUUGUUCAAAUAACAAUCUCCUAGCGGAACUAAACUGAUCCUUGUGAAAUACAACGUGUAAAUGUUAAUUUGUUAGAGUACACGAAAACAAAUUAGGGUAAUAGAAGGCUGUGCGUUAAACGUAAAGAACAAUACAAGUACAAUGAGAAGAAUUGGAAAUCUUUUAUUUAGAAAUUCAAUGAACGAUUGUAUAAUACAGUGGUACCUCAGGUUACAUACGCUUCAGGUUACAGACGCUUCAGGUUACAGACUCCGCUAACCCAGAAAUAAUACCUCGGGUUAAGAACUUUGCUUCAGGAUGAGAACAGAAAUUGUGCUCUAGCGGUGCAGCGGCAGCAGGAGGCCCCAUUAGCUAAAGUGGUGCUUCAGGUUAAGAACAGUUUCAGGUUAAGAACGGACCUCCGGAACGAAUUCAGUACUUAACCUGAGGUACCACUGUAAUGCAAAUUCUUGUUUUGUAUGUUUUCCCCCUCUUUCUUUUCUUGUCUUAAUCUUUUCUUUUUUUAUCUUUAUGUGUGUAUCUGUAUUUGUAUUUUAAUUCAAUAAAGAUGCUGUAAAAAAAAAUAUGUACAACUUACAAAGUCAACAAAAGAUCCAUAAAAGCAUUUUAAAAUAUCAAUAAUUGCUGGCUAGUUAAAAGUCAUGUUUUGAAGGCCUAUGUGAACAAAGAAGUUUUCAAACGACAUCUGGAGGAUGAGAGGGGCAGUUCCUGCUGGACCGCUCCCUGCAAGAAGUUCUCAUCUUGCCUUUGACACAGCCCCGUAACCCCCAAACCCCUACAGCAGGGGUAUCCAAACUUCUUUCAAAGAGGGCCAGAUUUGAUGAAGUAAGUGGAGGGCCGUGAGGGCAGACCCAAAGGGGCCAACCAAAGUUGUUGAGCUUUUUAAGAAGGAUUUUACCCCAGGAAAUGAAUUGCCAUGAGGGCUGGAUUAAACCGAUCAGCAGGCCGGAUUAGGCCCCCGAAAUGGACUUUGGCCAUGCCUGCCCUACAGAAACCGCAAUUGACCUGCAAGCAUUUCCUGCCGUCGCUCUUCCCUGCCUCUCCUGCAUGGAUUUCAGAUUGUAACCUCCGCUAGGCAGGCAGUGGUCUAUUAUUCCUGUCAAGCACCAGUUCCACUGAUGCCAUUUUAUUAUUUUAUCUGCCUACUCUCUUAUUAAUAUUGUUAAUCUUGCGCCUGCAGCUACCUGUUUCACAGUGGAAGAUGAUAUUUGCAUCUGCUGCAUAAUCCUCCAUUUGAAGUUUGAGUAUCUGCCUAAAUCCUCUUGCCCGUUUUUUCAAAGGGGGACGGGGGAGGGAAAUGCCUCCCCUAAGGCGAUAAUGCCUUGGAAAUGAAAAGUUGGCUUUGCAUAUUCAGGACGCAAUUCUCCGUUUCAUGUUCAUAAGCCCUGGAAACCUCUCCACUGAGGGUCCAGGAGUGACCAGUUUCUCCAAGACCCUUUUGCUCAGAGCAUUAAGAAACCAGUGACCAAGGUCCAUGCCCCUGGGCUUGCAGAAGGAUCUGGCAGGGCUGGGUCCCUGGCUUCUGGGCUUGCCAUAUUUCAGCCCCUAGGUGGGAGUUUGUGGCUGUGAUGCAGAAUGGUCUGGUCUUCAUGUAGCCUCUGAAUGUCCAUGAAGUUUCCUUCCUCGUUGUUGUUUAGUUGUUUAGUCGUGUCCGACUCUUGGUGACCCCCCUGGACCAGAGCACGCCAGGCCCUCCUGUCUUCCACUG
rnacentral:lncRNA from 1 species